rnacentral:rRNA from 1 species
GAUGAACGCUGGCGGCGUGCCUAAUACAUGCAAGUCGAGCGAACAGACGAGGAGCUUGCUCCUCUUACAUUAGCGGCGGACGGGUGAGUAACACGUGGAUAACCUACCUAUAAGACUGGGAUAACUUCGGGAAACCGGAGCUAAUACCGGAUAAUAUAUUGUACCGCAUGGUUCUAUAGUGAAAGACGGUUUUGCUGUCACUUCUAGAUGAAUUCGGGCGUCAUUAGCUGGUUGGUAAGGUAACGGCUUACCAAGGCACGGUUGCGUAGCCGACCGGAGGGGGUGAUCGGCAACACUGGAACUGGAACACGGUCAAGACUCCUACGGGAGGAACCAGAAGGGAAUCUUCGGCAAUGGGCGAAAGCCUGACGGAGCAACGCGGCGUGAGUGAUAAAGGUCUUGGGUUCGUAAGACUCUGUUAUUAGGGAAGAACAAAUGUGUAAGGAACUGUGCACGUCGUGACGGUACCUAAUCAGAAAGCCACGGCUAACUACGUG